AGCACGGGAGCAAUCCUGGUGGCGAGUGGCGAACGGGUGAGUAAUGUAUCGGAACGUACCUUUCAGUGGGGGAUAACGUAGCGAAAGUUACGCUAAUACCGCAUAUUCUGUGAGCAGGAAAGCAGGGGAUCGCAAGACCUUGCGCUGAUUGAGCGGCCGAUAUCAGAUUAGCUAGUUGGUGAGGUAAAGGCUCACCAAGGCGACGAUCUGUAGCGGGUCUGAGAGGAUGAUCCGCCACACUGGAACUGAGACACGGUCCAGACUCCUACGGGAGGCAGCAGUGGGGAAUUUUGGACAAUGGGGGCAACCCUGAUCCAGCCAUGCCGCGUGAGUGAAGAAGGCCUUCGGGUUGUAAAGCUCUUUCAGCCGGGAAGAAAUCACAUGGGUUAAUACCCUGUGUGGAUGACGGUACCGGAAUAAGAAGCACCGGCUAACUACGUGCCAGCAGCCGCGGUAAUACGUAGGGUGCGAGCGUUAAUCGGAAUUACUGGGCGUAAAGCGUGCGCAGGCGGUUUGUUAAGAUAGGCGCGAAAUCCCCGGGCUCAACCUGGGAACUGCGUUUAUGACUGGCAGGCUAGAGUAUGGCAGAGGGGGGUGGAAUUCCACGUGUAGCAGUGAAAUGCGUAGAGAUGUGGAGGAACACCGAUGGCGAAGGCAGCCCCCUGGGCCAAUACUGACGCUCAUGCACGAAAGCGUGGGUAGCAAACAGGAUUAGAUACCCUGGUAGUCCACGCCCUAAACGAUGUCAACUAGGUGUUGGGUGGGUAAAACCAUUUAGUACCGGAGCUAACGCGU
rnacentral:rRNA from 1 species